GGCUCUGUGGCGCAAAGGAUAGCGCAUUGGACUUCUAGGCUGUGAACUGAGCCCUUCAAAGGUUGUGGGUUUGAGUCCCACCAGAGUCG
rfam:Danio rerio chromosome 4, GRCz11 reference primary assembly.